rnacentral:piRNA from 1 species
UGCCUGGGCCUUGCAUCUAUCCUUGUG